GAUGAAGAACGUAGCGAAAUGCGAUAAGUAAUGUGAAUUGCAGAAUUCAGUGAAUCAUCGAAUCUUUGAACGCACAUUGCGCCCGCCAGUAUUCUGGCGGGCAUGCCUGUUCGAGCGUCAUUUCAACCAUCAAGCCCUGCUUGUGUUGGGGUCCUGCGGCUGCCCGCAGGCCCUGAAAACCAGUGGCGGGCUCGCUAGUCACACCGAGCGCAGUAAUACAUCUCGCUUUGGGCGUGCGGCGGGUUCUUGCCGUUAAACACCCCCUUUUUACCAAGGUUGACCUCGGAUCAGGUAGGAAUACCCGCUGAACUUAAGCAUAUCAAUAAGCGGAGGA
rnacentral:misc_RNA from 1 species